GUUAUCUGACAUUGGCUUGCUAAGAGUACAAAACCAAUGGGUCACAGAGGGGCUUUUUCUAAGAUGCUCACUAAUGUGUUUCAGGUCUGUUUGGAACUUCCUCAUACCUUUUCUGUGAAAGAAGAAGGAACUGGAGACUUUAUUAAAUAAUGUUUGGAACUUUUCCCAUAUCUCUUCCCUGAAGGAAAUAGAAGCUGAAGACUUGGUUUAAAUCCUGAGGAGAAGGUUGUUGGAAUUGUGCUACUUCUCUCUAAAAGAAAGGAGGCAUCAGAUAUUUUGUUUUCUCAGAUUCCUCCGGGACUUGGCCUUUGUUUGGUCAAUCUGGAGGCAAGCACAUGGCCUGGGAAAGGGCAGCAGGGGACGAAUAGCCCCCAGCCUAUAAGGGGGAGAAGGGGGACCUGCUGGAAAGCCCCUUCCCAGGGAUUGAGGAGUGAAGAGCCCCAGGAGUUCCAUAGAGAGCAGAAGUAAGGCUCUGGGACUGCUGCCUCAUUCAGUGUACAGGAUGGACAGCACUAAGUAAAUGAGCAGCUAUUAUGUUUCUGUGUUAAAUAUGUGGCCGUUGGCCUUAUUUACUGUAUACUGUUCAAACACAGCACUGAGAACAGAAUUAUUAAUUUCCUUAUGAGCUUUUCUGUGGCACUCAUCCCUGUAGCAGCUGAGUUCUUCCCAAAUGUUAAUGAAUUUACAUUCACAACGCCGCAGUGAGGUGAUCUUCUCUCCAUUUUACACUUGAGGAAUGGAAGCACUGAGACAUCGAUAUCAACAGUAUGCACCAGUGUGGGAAGUGGGGGUGCUGUGGGGCACCGUGCAUAAAACCUGGGGGUGUUUCCCGCACCUAUGUCCUCCACCCACACUCUGCUCCCCAGCCCCUCAUCUCACCCUCGUCCCAGGCCUCUGGUCCCGCUCCUGGGGCCCGGCCUCUGGCCCCGCUCGCUGGCCGCUCCACGGCCGGGGCUCUGAUUUUGGCCUCACAGGUGGGGUCUCGGCUGCCAACACCAGCCCGGGCUCCGAUCCUGGCCCCACACCCACCCCCAGCUGUGGCCUUGGCCCCCUUACCUCUGUCUGGGUCCCCCCGUCCCGGAGACACAGCCCUGCUCCCAGCCUCAGAGGUGGGGGGCAGAUGGGUAAAGGGACUGGCUUUCAGCACCCCCACAAAUAAAAACGUUCCUGUGCCACCGACAGUAUGCAUUGAUUUGGAGUGCCCAAUUUGAAACGCUUAUGGCCUGACUUUUCUGUUGAGUUGCUGGGGCCACAGAUUACUAGUACAUAACCCACUAGGGAGCUAUGACCUUUUCCACCAGCCCCUUGUGGCUUGUUAAGUUUCAUAUUCCUUCAAGUGUGUUGGUCUUAAAACCAGUCUCCCACUUCUUCUUUGUGUGAUCACUGAUGGUGGGGAAUGUCUUCCACCCUUCUUUCAAAAUCCUAUCAUGCAUAUUCAGCUCAUCCCUUAUGUGAUAAUAUCAGGUAACCUCCUAUGGCACUUACUCCUUACAAUUUGGCCAGUUCGGAAGUCUGUAUUGUUUCACUGUCUGGAGCACUCCAUCCUCUUGGUGCUUUGCUGGACUUCCUGGAGCCUCCCAUCAAAGAUGCAAAGGUAUUGUGGCAUAUUCAUCGAUCCCGUCUCC